rnacentral:misc_RNA from 1 species
UUUCCGUAGGUGAACCUGCGGAAGGAUCAUUCAUAAUAAAGUGUUUUAUGGCACUUUUUAAAAAUCCAUAUCCACCUUGUGUGCAAUGUUAGAUCUCGUCAAUCUUGGCGAGAUUUUUAUACAUCAACUCAUUCUUUAACUAAUUUGUCUGAAAAAUAUUAUGAAUACUUAAUUCAAAAUUCAACUUUCAACAACGGAUCUCUUGGCUCUC